UACGAAGGGGGCGAGCGUUGUUCGGAAUUACUGGGCGUAAAGCGUGCGUAGGUGGUUUGUUAAGUCUGUUGUGAAAGCCCCGGGCUCAACCUGGGAAUGGCAAUGGAUACUGGCAAGCUAGAGUGCGGUAGAGGGUAGUGGAAUUCCCGGUGUAGCGGUGAAAUGCGUAGAGAUCGGGAGGAACACCAGUGGCGAAGGCGGCUACCUGGACCAGCACUGACACUGAGGCACGAAAGCGUGGGGAGCAAACAGG
rnacentral:rRNA from 1 species